rnacentral:rRNA from 1 species
UACGAAGGGGGCUAGCGUUGUUCGGAAUUACUGGGCGUAAAGGGCGCGUAGGCGGCCGCUCAAGUCGGGGGUGAAAGCCUGUGGCUUAACCACAGAAUUGCCUUCGAUACUGUUUGGCUUGAGACCGGAAGAGGUGAGUGGAACUGCGAGUGUAGAGGUGAAAUUCGUAGAUAUUCGCAAGAACACCAGUGGCGAAGGCGGCUCACUGGUCCGGUUCUGACGCUGAGGCGCGAAAGCGUGGGGAGCAAACAGG